CACCCUGCUCAGUGGUGACAGACAAAAAUGUUUCCAGAUACUGCCAAAUGUUCCCCGAGGAAGUAGCAGCAAAAGGGUCCCCAGUUAAAACCACAAAAUUGUAACAUCACCUCUAAUAUUUAUAUUUAGAUGAAUAAUUUAAUUAAGCACUGAGAGCAAACCCUAAAAAAUGUGCAAGUUUAAAGGAAAAGGAAGACUGAAAUCAGGAGCUGACUGAAGUCCUGAAAAGAGAAAUUUGAAUUUCAUGCCCAAAUGUGUGUGGGGGCGAUCUGUUCUGAUGCCACCUUUUCCCAAGUGAUAGAGAAGGAGGGAACAAGAGAACUAGGUUAGUCAGCAUACAGUGCAGUCUUGGCUUACGCAAUAAAUUGAAGAAGACACAAAGAAAUGGAAAAAUGUUUCAUGCUCAUGGAUUGGAAGAAAAAAUAUUGUUAAAAUGUUGAAACCACCCAAAGGAAUCUACACGUUCAAUGCAAUCCCUGUCAAAAUAACACAAGAAUUCUUCACAGAGCCAGAACAAAAAAUCCUAAAAUUUGUAUGGAACCACAAAAGAGCCCAAAUAAUCAAAGUAAUGUUGACAAAGAACACCAAAGCUGGAGGCAUCACAGUUCGGACUUUAACUUGUAUUACAAAGCUAUAAUCAUUAAGACAGUAUGGUAAUGGCACAAAAAUGGACACAUAGAUCAGUGGAAUAGAAUAGAGAAACUGGAAAAGAAAUUGCAUAAUUUUAAUGUGUAUAACUUGAUGUUUUGAAGUAUGUAUAAAUAUAUGUAUAGAUAUAUGUAUAGAUUUUUUUUCAAUAUAUGAAGAUUAUUGUCAAAUUGGUUUCCAUACAACACCCAGUGCUCAUCCCAAAAGGUGCCCUCCUCAAUACCCAUCACCACCUCCCUCCCACCCCCCAUCAACCCUCAGUUUGUUCUCAGUUUUUAAGAGUCUCUUAUGCUUUGGCUCUCUUUCACUCUAACCUUUUUUUUUUUUUCCUUCCCCUCCCCCAUGGGUUUCUGUUAAGUUUCUCAGGAUCCACAUAAGAGUGAAACCAUAUGGUAUCUGUCUUUCUCUGUAUGGCUUAUUUCACUUAGCAUCACACUCUCCAGUGCCGUCCACGUUGCUACAAAGGGCCAUAUUUCAUUCUUUAUCAUUGCCACGUAGUACUCUAUUGUGUAUAUAAACCACAAUUUCUUUAUCCAUUCAUCAGUUGAUGGACAUUUAGUCUCUUUCCAUAAUUUGGCUAUUGUUGAGAGUGCUGCUAUAAACAUUGGGGUAAAAGUGCCCCUAUGCAUCAGUACUCCUGUAUCCUUUGGGUAAAUUCCUAGCAGUGCUAUUGCUGGGUCAUAGGGUAGGUCUAUUUUUAAUUUUUUGAGGAACCUCCACACUGUUUUCCAGAGUGGCUGCACCAAUUUGCAUUCCCACCAACAGUGCAAGAGGGUUCCCAUUUCUUCCACAUCCUCGCCAGCAUCUAUAGUCUCCUGAUUUGUUCAUUUUGGCCACUCUGACUGGCGUGAGGUGAUAAUAGAUUUUUAAAUGAUCACCAAAAUCAAGCUAAUUAACAUGUCCAUGACCUCACAUUGUUUGUGUGUGUGUGUGUGUGUGUGUGUGUGAUGACAAAGCUUAAGGUAUACCCUCUUAGCAAGUUUCAAUUUUACAUGACAGUAUUGUUAACUGCAGUCACCAUGCUGUACAUUAUAACUCCAGAACUUAUUUAUCCUGCACAACUGACUCUUUGUACCCUUUGACCAACAACUUCCCUUUCCCCCUUUGUCCUGCCCGUGUCAACCACCACUCUAUUCUCUGUUCCUAUGAGUUUGAAAAUUUUAGAUUCUACACAUAAGUGACAGUAUUUGUAUUUGUUGUUCUGAAUUAUUUCACCUGGAUAAUGUCAUCCAAGUUCAUCCAUGUUGUUGCAUAUGGAAGGAUAUCCUUUUAAUGUCUAAAUGUACACACACACACACACACACACACACACACACACACGAUAUUCCUUGAUCCAUUUAUCUAUCAGCAGACAUUAAAGCUGUUUCCAUAUCUUGGCUAUUGUGAAUAGUACUGCAACCUGGGAGUUCACUGAAGAGUAUCUCUUCAUAAUAGUGACUUCCAUUUCUUCAGGUGGAUGGCCAGAAGCAAAAUUAUUGGAUUAUAUUGCAGUUCUGUCUUUAAUUUUUUGAGGACCCUCCAUAUCUCUCCCACACAGCUAUAUCAAUUUACACAUCUGCCAACAGCGUACAUGUGUUCUCUUUUCCCAACAUCCUAGUCAAUACUUAUCUUUUUCCCCCCUGAGCUGAGGAGAGGAACUGUGACAGAUGUCUGCAUAAAUGUUCUGACCACAUGAUCUUCCAAACUAUUGCUUUGUUCUCUGUCAAUCCCAGGGUCUUAGUAAAUGCUGGGCCCCAUCGGCUCUCAGAAGCAGACACGGGUAAAAGCUAGGCCCUUGGGUAGAAAAGUUGAGGGGCUAAAUAUGCAGAUCAACUCCAUCCAGGGAGAAGCUGGGGACUUGGUUUUGUUGCUGGAGUAAAUUUUUUGCAGCGGGAAGGAGCCUUGGAAUAUUCUCAUAUGUCCAUAUCAACUCCCAAAUGAUUAGUGAUUGCCUGCUCAUCAACUCAGUGAUGAGUGAGUUAGAAAGAAAACAAUGGGUUCUAAAAAUUAAAUGAUAUUCCCAUAUAUACAGUUUUUCUUUGUGGCUUCAUUUCAAUAAUGACGUAAGUUUUGAAUGUAAUUUCAUUGCACAUAGAUCCCUUAGGUUACAUUUUAUCUUCCUGAGAUUACCUUUUUCCUUGAGGUCUUUAUUUUGUUUGUUAUAAGUAAACAUUUUCUAUAUUUUUAAAAUCUGCCAUCAGAAAACGUGGGUGGUAGAAUCUUUUAAAUCAUUUAGUCCAAAUAACAAAGGAGGAAAAUAGGAAAUUUUUCUAGGAUUAUUUAAGUAGUUAGAAGAGAACUUGAGUUUUCUAGUUUCUUAACAAAAAUAUACCCACUCUUUUAUUUUCUUUAUGUUUGAUGGGCAGUUACAAAAAAUCCAUUUGCUAUUCUACUGUGAUAGGUGGGAUACACUUAUUGAUAGUAUUAAACAAGUAAUUUUGCAGUGUAGAAAUAAUAAACCAUCUUUAAAGUUUCAUUUAACUCAUUCUCAUAAACAAUACUAAUUCAAAAAAUCUUAACUGGGAAAAACAACUAAGCAACCGAUAUCAUGACAUAAUACUUGAAAUAUAGUACAUACCAAUGCAUAGAUUAUACUUUUUGAACUAUAUAUAAAGGUGAAGAUAAAAUAUUAAAAUUGUAUGCAUAAAAACAGACUCUCAUUUUUAAAAAACGAAUUCCUUUAUGUGAGAGAGAAAGAGCAGGAGAGAGAGAGAGAAAGAAAGGGAGGGAUGGUGGCAGGGAGGCAGACAAAGAUUUAUUAUAAAAAAUUGACCCAUACAUUUAUAGAGGCUGAGAUGUCCCAAGAUCUUCAGCUGGCAAACUGGAAGCCUAGGAGAAUCUAUGUGUAGUUGUAACAUAAGUCUGAAGGUCUGAAAACCAGGAGAGCCAAUGGCAUAAAUUUCAGUCCAAAAGCCAUCAGUCUCAAGAUUCAAGAAGAGCAGAAGAGAUGUUUCAGACUGAAUCUAGAGACUGAAAAAGACCAACAUCCCAGCUUCAGCAAUCAGGCAGUAGGAGUCCCCUCUUAGCCUUUUGUGCUAUUCAGGUCUUCAACUGAUUAGAUGCGGCCUACCAAGGGAGGUAAUUUACUUUACUUAGUCUACUGAUUCAAACAUUAAUCUCAUCCAGAAACACCCUUAUGGGUACACCCAGAACAAUGUUUGACCUAAUGUCUGGGCAUCUUGUGGCAUAGCCAAGUUGAAACAUAAAAUUAACCAUGAUGCAAAUAGUAUCAGUGGUUUGAACUAGGCUGUUGUCAUAGGACUGUAAUUGGUGAAAAUGGACAAAUUAUAUUAAAAUCAUGGAGGCAGAUGGAAGUACUUACAGAAAAUAUAGAGUGAGACAAAACUGGGACCAUGACAGAAACCUGAGGGUUUUCAAUACUAACAUGUAAGAAAGAGGAGGAGAAGCCAAAUGAAGAAUGCAUGGAGAAAGGCAAACAGAUAAAAGGGAAAAAAGGACGUGGAUGCCAUCGAAGUGAGAUUGUUUUUAAAGU